GACGAACGCUGCGGCGUGCUUAACCCAUGCAAGUCGCACGGAAAGGCCCUGCUUUUGUGGGGUGCUCGAGUGGCGAACGGGUGAGUAACACGUGAGUAACCUGCCCUUGACUUUGGGAUAACUUCAGGAAACUGGGGCUAAUACCGGAUAGGAGCUCCUGCUGCAUGGUGGGGGUUGGAAAGUUUCGGCGGUUGGGGAUGGACUCGCGGCUUAUCAGCUUGUUGGUGGGGUAGUGGCUUACCAAGGCUUUGACGGGUAGCCGGCCUGAGAGGGUGACCGGCCACAUUGGGACUGAGAUACGGCCCAGACUCCUACGGGAGGCAGCAGUGGGGAAUAUUGCACAAUGGGCGGAAGCCUGAUGCAGCAACGCCGCGUGCGGGAUGACGGCCUUCGGGUUGUAAACCGCUUUCGCCUGUGACGAAGCGUGAGUGACGGUAAUGGGUAAAGAAGCACCGGCUAACUACGUG
rnacentral:rRNA from 1 species